rnacentral:rRNA from 1 species
AGUGAACGCUGGCGGUAGGCCUAACACAUGCAAGUCGAACGGCAGCACAGUAAGAGCUUGCUCUUACGGGUGGCGAGUGGCGGACGGGUGAGGAAUACAUCGGAAUCUACUUUUUCGUGGGGGAUAACGUAGGGAAACUUACGCUAAUACCGCAUACGACCUACGGGUGAAAGCAGGGGAUCUCCGGACCUUGCGCGAUUGAAUGAGCCGAUGUCGGAUUAGCUAGUUGGCGGGGUAAAGGCCCACCAAGGCGACGAUCCGUAGCUGGUCUGAGAGGAUGAUCAGCCACACUGGAACUGAGACACGGUCCAGACUCCUACGGGAGGCAGCAGUGGGGAAUAUUGGACAAUGGGCGCAAGCCUGAUCCAGCCAUACCGCGUGGGUGAAGAAGGCCUUCGGGUUGUAAAGCCCUUUUGUUGGGAAAGAAAAGCAGCAGGUUAAGACCCCGCUGUUCUGACGGUACCCAAAGAAUAAGCACCGGCUAACUUCGU